AUGGGCCUGUGGCCAGAUGGGUUCAGAAUGUCCUAAUGAAAAACAGCAAAGAGCCAGGCAUAGGGAUGGGCCUCAGAACCCCCAGCACCCUCAAGUGGAUUUAUUUGCAGAAAGAACGUUUGUUGUCUUAGUGACCAGUGUAGACAGGGCUAGAUCUACAUU
rnacentral:sRNA from 1 species